GACGAACGCUGGCGGCGUGCCUAAUACAUGCAAGUCGAACGCUGAAGGAGGAGCUUGCUUCUCUGGAUGAGUUGCGAACGGGUGAGUAACGCGUAGGUAACCUGCCUGGUAUCGUGGGAUAACUUUUGGAAACGAUAGCUAAUACCGCAUAAUAUUAGAUGUUGCAUUACAUUUGCUUAAACUUUGCACUUUCAUCACUACCAUAUGCACCUGCGUUGUUUUAUCUAGUUGGUGGGGUAACGGCUCACCAAGGCGACGAUACAUCUCCGACCUGAGAGGGGGAUCGGGCACACUGGGAAUGGGACAAGGCCCAGACUCCUACGGGAGGGAGCAGUAGGGAAACUUCGGCAAAGGACGGAAGGCUGAACGAGGAAAGCCGGGGGAGGGAAGAAGGGUUUCGGAUCGGAAAGCUCUGUUGUAAGAGAAGAAAGAGUGGGAGAGUGGAAAGUUCACGCUGUGACGGUAUCUAAACAGAAAGGGACGGCUAACUACGUG
rnacentral:rRNA from 1 species